AUCAAAUUAAUUUAUAUAACAUAAGGAUAGAAAGAAUUCAAUAAUAAAGAUUAGCGUAUAUUACACAAUAUAAUUUAACAUUGACAGAUAUUCUUAAAUCUAUCCCAUGUCGAUUUUUUACUUGAAAUAUCCCAAUGUUGCUAAUUUGAUGUCACCAUCUAACCUCAGGGGAUAGUUAGUGAAACAAAAAUAGCAAUAUUGGAAUAUCUCAGGCAAAAAAAUGACGUUGGGAUAAAUUUAAGAAUAUUUGUCAACGUUAGGUCAUAUGGUGUAAUAAACUCGAAAGAUUAAUAUGGACAUUUUUUUUAUCUCCCCCGCAGUAAAAAAGGGUAGCACAUAUUUUCAUCUUCCGAAAUUACCCCUGACAGUUUCUGCCAUCCCCCUUCCCAGAGCUCAAACCCACCGAGACCACAGUACGUGGUGGAUCCUUCCGACAGUCACCAGCCUCGCUCUAUCCUAUAUCCUACGGCAUUUCUAUGCCUGCCUGUUCUGUUUAAUUUUAAGUUUUAUCAUAGUACUCUUCUGCAUCCUGUUCUUUACGUUACACUGCACAUCAAAUGUUUGUUGAUUUGCCCAUAUGAAUUUUCAAGUAAAGAUGCUGUAGGAGUUUUACUUGCAUGCCAUGCCUACAAAUGGGGGAAACAAAUGUUCUUCUUAUGAUAGUGUGAGGAUUACAAGAAGCUACGGAUGAAGUAUCUAUCUUGGUUUAACAAAGGACGAUCCCUGUGAUUGUGUUGAAACAUCAAAAGAUUUAUAUGCCAACGCUCUUGAGGGGAAACAUCCUGAAGCUCUCUCGUGAUCUCCCCCCCCCACUUAAUUGUGGACACUGUUGAAGCUGAUGAGAAGAUCAAGUUUCACAUUUUGAAUGCCAUACGAAGCCAUUAAUAUAUCUUUCUUGUGAUUUUGGUAUUGGUUAUAAAGAGUAUAAAACUCAUUUGAUUUUGUUUAGUCGGCCGAUUCCUGAUGACAGUGCUUGUGUUAAUAUUUGCGGAAGAAGAAAGUGAUUGAGUUUUUGAUGGUGCCAUUGCUCCUGUGAUAGUUGAAGAAAAUGGAUGAUAGCAACCUUAAAGGGUCACCAUACUGGCGAAAGUGGUGAGUUGGAAGCCGGCGGAGGCUUUUCUGAUUGCGACUAGGAUGAUUCCUUUGAACCCUUUGACAUUACUAGCACCAAAUAAUGCUCCUAAAUACCGGCUUAGGAAAUGGAAGGUACACAAGUGGUCGUACAAUUUUCGACGAGGCAGCGGAGUUCAUGAUGUCCAGGAAACAAUUGAUAGAAUAACACAACGAUGUUAUGUAUGACUCAAUCUUGUUGUGUUGCAGCCUUAAUCUUACAUGUUUCAAUAACAUAUAUUAUUUUUAUUGGACCAAUGCACGUGCUGUUUCUCAAGUAGCUAUAGAUGUAUAUAAUAUACAGAAUUUGUCUUUUCAUAUAUAAAUUUUAAUACUGUAUAUUUCAGACCUAUGCAAAUAAAUAAUUAUUUGAGAGAUCAGGUAGUGUUUAUGUAAUAUUAAUAACCUAAUAGAUUAUUUCAUUUCCCAAUUUACUUUUCGAGAAAAAAAAAAAGAAAAAAGCCAAGACUUCGA